rnacentral:rRNA from 1 species
GACGAACGCUGGCGGCGCGCUUAACACAUGCAAGUCGAGCGAGAACCCAGGCUUCGGCCUGGGGGAAAGCGGCGAACGGGUGAGUAACACGUGGGUAAUCUGCCCUCGGCAUCGGGAUAGCCCGGGGAAACCCGGAUUAAUACCGAAUGGCCCAUCUGCUCUUCGGAGCGGCUGGACAAGGUAGCUUUGGCCUCCGGCCGAGGAGGAGCCCGCGGCGGAUUAGCUUGUUGGUGAGGUAACGGCUCACCAAGGCGACGAUCCGUAGCUGGUCUGAGAGGACGAUCAGCCACACUGGGACUGAGACACGGCCCAGACUCCUACGGGAGGCAGCAGUGGGGAAUCUUGCGCAAUGGGCGAAAGCCUGACGCAGCGACGCCGCGUGCGGGAAGAAGGCCUUCGGGUUGUAAACCGCUUUCAGGAGGGACGAAGCCACUCGGGUUCAUAGCCCAGAGGGUGACGGUACCUCCAGAAGAAGCCCCGGCUAACUACGUGCCAGCAGCCGCGGUAAAAC